UACGUAGGGUGCGAGCGUUGUCCGGAAUUAUUGGGCGUAAAGAGCUUGUAGGCGGUUUGUCGCGUCUGCCGUGAAAAUUCGAGGCUCAACCUCGAACUUGCGGUGGGUACGGGCAGACUAGAGUGUGGUAGGGGAGACUGGAAUUCCUGGUGUAGCGGUGAAAUGCGCAGAUAUCUGGAGGACAUCGGUGGCGAAGGCGGCAUCCUGGACCGGUAUUGACGCUGAGGCGCGAAAGCCAGGGAGC
rnacentral:rRNA from 1 species